AAAGUCAAAGUCCAUUUUGUGGAAUAAGGAAGCAAAUCAUUGGCAGGAGAAAAACACAGUUUACAGGUGUAAUCUGUAGGAGGAGACAUGACCUCCAACAUGAGUGUGUCUGUGAAAAAGCGCUUAAAGGAAUAUGAGAGUCUGAUUCAGGGCGAGAGAUCAGACUCACCUGAACCCAGCUGUGUGUCCAUGAAGAGUCACGAGUCAAUGGAUCAACCAAUAGACUUCAGAGACACAGACUGUGCUACUGAUCUGAGGUG